rnacentral:rRNA from 1 species
AGUCGAGCGCCCGCAAGGGAGCGGCGGACGGGUGAGUAACGCGUGGGAAUGUGCCCUUCUCUACGGAAUAGCCUCGGGAAACUGAGRGUAAUACCGUAUACGCCCUAUUGGGGAAAGAUUUAUCGGAGAAGGAUCAGCCCGCGUUGGAUUAGGUAGUUGGUGGGGUAAUGGCCUACCAAGCCGACGAUCCAUAGCUGGUUUGAGAGGAUGAUCAGCCACACUGGGACUGAGACACGGCCCAGACUCCUACGGGAGGCAGCAGUGGGGAAUCUUAGACAAUGGGGGCAACCCUGAUCUAGCCAUGCCGCGUGAGUGAUGAAGGCCUUAGGGUUGUAAAGCUCUUUCAGCUGGGAAGAUAAUGACGGUACCAGCAGAAGAAGCCCCGGCUAACUCCGUGCCAGCAGCCGCGGUAAUACGGAGGGGGCUAGCGUUGUUCGGAAUUACUGGGCGUAAAGCGCACGUAGGCGGACCAGAAAGUUGGGGGUGAAAUCCCGGGGCUCAACCUCGGAACUGCCUUCAAAACUAUUGGUCUGGAGUUCGAGAGAGGUGAGUGGAAUUCCGAGUGUAGAGGUGAAAUUCGUAGAUAUUCGGAG